rnacentral:rRNA from 1 species
AGAGUUUGAUCAUGGCUCAGAGCGAACGCUGGCGGCAGGCUUAACACAUGCAAGUCGAGCGGGCGUAGCAAUACGUCAGCGGCAGACGGGUGAGUAACGCGUGGGAACGUACCUUUUGGUUCGGAACAACCCAGGGAAACUUGGGCUAAUACCGGAUAAGCCCUUACGGGGAAAGAUUUAUCGCCGAAAGAUCGGCCCGCGUCUGAUUAGCUAGUUGGUGAGGUAACGGCUCACCAAGGCGACGAUCAGUAGCUGGUCUGAGAGGAUGAUCAGCCACAUUGGGACUGAGACACGGCCCAAACUCCUACGGGAGGCAGCAGUGGGGAAUAUUGGACAAUGGGCGCAAGCCUGAUCCAGCCAUGCCGCGUGAGUGAUGAAGGCCCUAGGGUUGUAAAGCUCUUUUGUGCGGGAAGAUAAUGACGGUACCGCAAGAAUAAGCCCCGGCUAACUUCGUGCCAGCAGCCGCGGUAAUACGAAGGGGGCUAGCGUUGCUCGGAAUCACUGGGCGUAAAGGGUGCGUAGGCGGGUCUUUAAGUCAGGGGUGAAAUCCUAGAGCUCAACUCCAGAACUGCCUUUGAUACUGAAGAUCUUGAGUUCGGGAGAGGUGAGUGGAACUGCGAGUGUAGAGGUGAAAUUCGUAGAUAUUCGCAAGAACACCAGUGGCGAAGGCGGCUCACUGGCCCGAUACUGACGCUGAGGCACGAAAGCGUGGGGAGCAACAGGAUUAGAUACCCUGGUAGUCCACGCCGUAAACGAUGAAUGCCAGCCGUUAGUGGGUUUACUCACUAGUGGCGCAGCUAACGCUUUAAGCAUUCCGCCUGGGGAGUACGGUCGCAAGAUUAAAACUCAAAGGAAUUGACGGGGCCCGCACAAGCGGUGAGCAUGUGGUUUAAUUCGACGCAACGCGCAGAACCUUACCAGCCCUUGACAUCCCGGUCGCGGACUCCAGAGACGGAGUUCUUCAGUUCG